AGACAGAAGGAGAGAGUGGGCAGUCAGUCAGUCACAGCGGACAGUGAGACUCUCCGUUGGCCUUUCGGACUCCAUCUUUCAUGUUUGAAGGA